rnacentral:rRNA from 1 species
UUUGAAUGGGGGCACCUGNAUCAUCAUGCCGCGUGAGUGAAGAAGGCCUUCGGGUUGUAAAGCUCUUUUGUCAGGGAAGAAACACCGGCUCUAACACAGUCCGGGAAUGACGGUACCUGAAGAAUAAGCACCGGCUAACUACGUGCCAGCAGCCGCGGUAAUACGUAGGGUGCGAGCGUUAAUCGGAAUUACUGGGCGUAAAGCGUGCGCAGGCGGUUAUACAAGACAGGCGUGAAAUCCCCGGGCUUAACCUGGGAAUGGCGCCUGUGACUGUAUAGCUAGAGUGUGUCAGAGGGGGGUAGAAUUCCACGUGUAGCAGUGAAAUGCGUAGAUAUGUGGAGGAAUACCAAUGGCGAAGGCAGCCCCCUGGGAUAACACUGACGCUCAUGCACGAAAGCGUGGGGAGCAAACAGGAUUAGAUACCCUGGUAGUCCACGCCCUAAACGAUGCUGACUAGUUGUUCGGGAUUUACAUCCUGAGUAACGUAGCUAACGCGUGAAGUCAGCCGCCUGGGGAGUACGGUCGCAA